rnacentral:rRNA from 1 species
CCGGAGGAAGGUGGGGAUGACGUCAAAUCAUCAUGCCCCUUAUGACCUGGGCUACACACGUGCUACAAUGGUUGGUACAACGAGUUGCGAGUCGGUGACGGCGAGCUAAUCUCUUAAAAGCCCAAUCUCAGUUCGGAUUGUAGGCUGCAACUCGCCUACAUGAAGUCGGAAUCGCUAGUAAAUCGCGGAUCAGCACGCCGCGGUCGAAUACGUUCCCGGGCCUU